GCCCACCAAUCGUUCCUCCCAGUCAACAGCCGGCUGAGCAGCGUCCAGAUUCCUGUGAAAGUUUGAGUGUUCAAGGAUGAUUUAAUCCCAGAAAGCUGGAGAGCUUGGAGACAUCCAAGAUGCUGACAAAUGGACCACCGAAGAAAAAGCACUUAGCACAUGAAGAAAUGUCUGGAAGUGCUACAGCCAUUUUGCAACUGUGAAGGCAAAACUCACACUCUAAAGAUAUCAGGACAAGAACCUGGAAGUGUGGGUCCUCACUUCUUCCUUGAGCAUCUAUACUCAUCCUGAACUACAGUUUCCAGAACACAUUUCACAUGAGAAGAAUAAGCAUCUUUUGUCUACAGAUCCCAAAGCAUCCUUGGACACAAUUCAGAGUUUCAUGAACUUGAGCGGAAAGAGAUUACAUUUUCAUUUUCACAAA
rnacentral:lncRNA from 10 species